UGCCUUAGUAGCGGCGAGUGAGCGGCCAAAGCUCAAAUUUGAAAUCUGGCGCCUUCGGUGUCCGAGUUGUAAUUUGAAGAUUGUAACCUUGGGGUUGGCUCUUGUCUAUGUUUCUUGGAACAGGACGUCACAGAGGGUGAGAAUCCCGUGCGAUGAGAUGCCCAAUUCUAUGUAAGGUGCUUUCGAAGAGUCGAGUUGUUUGGGAAUGCAGCUCUAAGUGGGUGGUAAAUUCCAUCUAAAGCUAAAUAUUGGCGAGAGACCGAUAGCGAACAAGUACAGUGAUGGAAAGAUGAAAAGAACUUUGAAAAGAGAGUGAAAAAGUACGUGAAAUUGUUGAAAGGGAAGGGUUUGAGAUCAGACUCGAUAUUUUGUGAGCCUUGCCUUCGUGGCGGGGUGACCCGCAGCUUAUCGGGCCAGCAUCGGUUUGGGCGGUAGGAUAAUGGCGUAGGAAUGUGACUUUACUUCGGUGAAGUGUUAUAGCCUGCGUUGAUGCUGCCUGCCUAGACCGAGGACUGCGAUUUUAUCAAGGAUGCUGGCAUAAUGAUCCCAAACCGCCCGUCUUGAAACACGGACCAAAA
rnacentral:rRNA from 1 species